GCUGGGAUAGUUCAUUCGGUAGAGCAUAAGACUCUCAAUCUCUGGGUUGUGGGUUCGAUUCCUAUGCUGGGUG